CUCCGGAUUUCUCAUCCUCGAAAAUGUAAAAGGAACACUUGGUCCACAGCAACAGCCUCCUGCUGCAUAUUGGAUUCUUCUGGAAUCGAAAGGUUUCUUUACUGGGCAUGAGGAAGACACGGACUUCAAUGGCAGUGGCAUAGUCUGUGAAGAAGGAUACAGGGUUGUAUCUAGGAAAGUGACAUCCUUGGGAACCACGCAGAUCAGUUGUGAGAGU